UGUCCCCGAGCUUUGGGACACUCCUGUCCCCGGUGAUGUCCCCCGGGGUGGUGCCACCCCUGUCCCCGAGCUUUGGGACGUCCCUGUCCCCGAGGUUGGUGACAUCCCUGUCCCACAUGUCCCUCAGGGCGGUGACACCCCGGUACCCAAUGUCCCCAAUGUCCCCAGGAGCUGGGACACCCCUGUCCCCAAUGUCCCCAAGGUUUGGGACACCCCUGUCCCCGAUGUCCUUGUCCCCAAGGUCUGGGACAUCCCUGCCACCCCUGUCCCUGUCCCAGAAGUCCUUCAGGGUGGUGACAUCCCUGUCCCCAAGGUCUGGGACAUCCCUGUCCCCAGUGUCCUUGUCCCCAGAGCCCGGGAUGUCCCCCAGAGCUGUGACCUCCCUGUCACCCCCGUCCCUGUCCCAGAAGUCCCUCAGGGCUGUGACAUCCCUGUCCCUGAUGUCCUUGUCCCCAAAGUCUGGGACACCCCUGUCCCCGAUGUCCUUGUCCCCGAUGUCCCUCAGGGCUGUGACAUCCCUGUCCCUGAUGUCCUUGUCCCCAAAGUCUGGGACACCCCUGUCCCCGAUGUCCUUGUCCCCGAUGUCCCUCAGGGCUGGGACAUCCCUGUCCCUAAGGUUUGGGACAUCCCUGUCCCCAGUGUCCUUGUCCCCGAUGUCCCUCAGGGCGGUGACAUCCCUGUCCCUAAGGUUUGGGACAUCCCUGUCCCCGAUGUCCUUGUCCCCGAUGUCCCUCAGGGCGGUGACAUCCCUGUCCUUCAUGUCCCUUGGGAUGGUGACAUCCCCGUCCCCAAAGUCUGGGACACCCCUGUCCCCGCUGUCCCCAAGGUCCCAAACAUCCCCAAUGACCCCCAUGUCCCCAACGUCCCCGAGGGCCUCAAUGUCCCCAGUGUCCUGGAUGUCCCCAACGUUCUCAAUGUCCCCGACGUCAUUGAUGCCCCCCACGUCCCCCGUGUCCCCAAGAUCCUCGAUGUCCCCAAUGCUAUUGACGUCCUCCAUGUCCCCAGGGGCCUCCAUGUCCCCAGGGGCCUCCAUGUCCCCAACGUCCCCGAUGUCCCCAACGUCCCCGAUGUCCCCAACGUCCCCGAUGUCCCCGAGGUCCUUCAUGUCCCAAAUAUCUUCUCUGUCCUUGACUCCCUCGAUGUUCUUGAUGUCCCCAACGUCCCCGACGUUCUCCAUGUCCUCAAGGUCCCCAAGAUCCUCGAUGUCCCCGAGAUCCUUGAUGUCCCCAAGGUCCUUCAUGUCCCCAAGGUCAUCGAUGUCCCCAAGGUCCUGGAUGUCCCCAAGGUCCUGGAUGUCCCCAAGACUGUCCUGGACAUCCCCGAGGUUGUCCUGGAUGUCCCCAGGGUUGUCCUGGAUGUCCUGGAUGUCCCCAAGGUCCUGGAUGUCCUUAAGGUUGUCCUGGAUGUCCCCAAAGUUUUCCUGGAUGUCCCCAGGGUUGUCCUGGAUGUCCUUAAGGUUGUCCUGGAUGUCCUGGAUGUCCCCAGGGCUGUCCUGGAUGUCCUGGAUGUCCCCAGGGUUGUCCUGGAUGUCCCCAGGGUUGUCCUGGAUGUCCUGGAUGUCCCCAAGACUGUCCUGGAUGUCCCCAAGGUCUUGGAUGUCCCCAAUGUCCUGGAUGUCCUGGAUGUCCUUAAGGUUGUCCUGGAUGUCCUGGAUGUCCCCAAGGUCCUGGAUGUCCCCAAGACUGUCCUGGAUGUCCCCAGGGUUGUCCUGGAUGUCCCCAAUGUCCUGGAUGUCCUGGAUGUCCUGGAUGUCCCCCCUGUCCUCUCUGUCGGUGGCGGUGAUGGUGAUGGUGACGCCGCCGGCCCAGGGGGUGACCGGAGUGACCACAGUGACCGGAGUGACCUCAGUGACCGCAGUGACCUCAGUGACCGGAGUGACCUCAGUGACCGGAGUGACCGUGGGGACCGCAGUGACCUCAGUGACCUCAGUGUCCGCAGUGACCUCAGUGACCGGAGUGACCUCAGUGACCGCAGUGACCGUGGGGACGGCAGUGACCACAGUGACCUCAGUGACCGCAGUGACCACAGUGACCGGAGUGGCCUCAGUGACCUCAGUGUCCGCAGUGACCGCAGUGACCUCAGUGACCUCAGUGACCUCAGUGACCUCAGUGACCGGAGUGACCUCAGUGACUGUAGUGACCUCAGUGACCGCAGUGUCCAGAGUGACCGCAGUGACCUCAGUGACCUCAGUGCCCCCCCGGUCCCCGUCACCCCCCCAGCGGGGCGGGGGGUCCUCGGGGG
rnacentral:lncRNA from 1 species